GAUGAACGCUAGCGGCAGGCUUAAUACAUGCAAGUCGAGGGGCAGCAGGACUGUAGCAAUACAGUUGCUGGCGACCGGCAAACGGGUGCGGAACACGUACGCAACCUUCCUUUAAGUGACGGAUAGCCCAGGGAAACUUGGAUUAAUACCUCUUAAUAUUUGAGAGUGGCAUCACUUUCUAAUUAUAGCUCCGGCGCUUAAAGAUGGGCGUGCGACUAAUUAGGUAGUUGGCGGGGUAACGGCCCACCAAGCCUGCGAUCAGUAACUGGUGUGAGAGCAAGACCAGUCACACGGGCACUGAGACACGGGCCCGACUCCUACGGGAGGCAGCAGUAAGGAAUAUUGGUCAAUGGACGCAAGUCUGAACCAGCCAUGCCGCGUGGAGGAUGAAGGUCCUCUGGAUUGUAAACUUCUUUUAUCUGGGAAGAAACCCAUAUUUUCUAGUGUGGUUGACGGUACCAGAUGAAUAAGCACCGGCUAACUCCGUGCCAGCCGCCGCCGUAAUAC
rnacentral:rRNA from 1 species